GACGAACGCUGGCGGCGUGCCUAAUACAUGCAAGUAGAGCGCACAGUUUAUACCGUAGCUUGCUCCACCAUAGACUGUGAGUUGCGAACGGGUGAGUAACGCGUAGGUAACCUGCCUGGUAGCGGGGGAUAACUAUUGGAAACGAUAGCUAAUACCGCAUAAUAUUGAUUAUUGCAUGAUAAUUGAUUGAAAGAUGCUAUUGCAUCACUACCAGAUGGACCUGCGUUGUAUUAGCUAGUAGGUGAGGUAACGGCUCACCUAGGCGACGAUACAUAGCCGACCUGAGAGGGUGAUCGGCCACACUGGGACUGAGACACGGCCCAGACUCCUACGGGAGGCAGCAGUAGGGAAUCUUCGGCAAUGGACGAAAGUCUGACCGAGAAACGCCGCGUGAGUGAAGAAGGUUUUCGGAUCGUAAAGCUCUGUUGUAAGAGAAGAACGGGUGUGAGAGUGGAAAGUUCACACUGUGACGGUAUCUUACCAGAAAGGGACGGCUAACUACGUG
rnacentral:rRNA from 1 species